CGAAGCGGAUCACAUAUCCAGCUUGCUGGAUGCUGACGAGCGGCGGACGGGUGAUUAAUGCAUGGGAAUCCGCCCUAUAGGGGGGGAUAACCUGGGGAAACCCGGGCUAAUACCGCAUACUUCCUACGGAAAAAAGGGGGCUUCGGCUCCCGCUAUCGGAUGACCCUAUGUCGGAUUACCUAGUUGGUGAGGUAAAGGCUCACCAGGGCAACGAUCCGUAGCGGGUCUGAAAGGAUGAUCACCCACAUCGGGACUGAAACCCGGCCCAAACUCCUACGGGAGGCACCAGUGGGGAAUAUUGAACAAGGGGGGCAACCCUGAUCCACCCAUGCCGCGUGUGUGAAAAAGGCCCUCGGGUUGUAAAGCUUUUUCACCGAGGAAAAACGCCUAGGGGUUAAUACCCGCUAGGAAAAACUUCACUCGCAAAAAAAGCACCGGCUAACUCCGUGCCAGCACCCGCGGUAAUACGGAGGGUGCAAGCGUUAAUCGGAAUUACUGGGCGUAAAGCGCGCGUAGGUGGCUUGAUAAGCCGGUUGUGAAAGCCCCGGGCUCAACCUGGGAACGGCAUCCGGAACUGUCAAGCUAGAGUGCAGGAGAGGAGGGUAGAAUUCCCGGUGUAGCGGUGAAAUGCGUAGAGAUCGAGGAGGAAUACCAGUGGCGAGGGCGGCCUUCUGGACUGACACUGACACUGAGGUGCGAAAGCGUGGGUAGCAAACAGGAUUAGAUACACUGGUAGUCCACGCCGUAAACGAUGUCGACCAGCCGUUGGUGCCUAGCGCACUUUGUGGCGAAGUCACUCGAUAAUUCGACCGCCUGGUGAGUACGGCCGCAAGGUUAAAACUCAAUGAGUGACGG
rnacentral:rRNA from 1 species